AAAAAGAAAAAUAUAUUAUAUACAGAAAGAAAGAAAAAAUACUAUUUUGGCCUUCUGGUAUAUCUUAUCAUAGAGCUGUCAAUGAUGAAAUGGAUGCAGAUGAAACAUGGGACAAAUAUAAACUUAUCAAAAUCAAAUUUGAGAGUGAAUUAAUAUAUGAUGUACUGGAAAAAUAUCUGAUGGCACAUUUAAAGUGAAAAGUAAUGUUUAUGUUACCAGAUUUUCCGUUGCCUCCACCAGUUUUGCAAUCCAUACCAACAAAAUCAUUAAAGAGAUCAUUUGAUUUUAAUUUGUCACCUGGAUCAAUUAUUUUAAAACAAUCAAAUAUUUGUUCUGCUUUGCCAGACUCUUCACCUUUACACACAGAGGAACAAUCAACUUCGUAUUCUGAGUCACUGUCUUUGCCUAACUUUUUUUACCUUCAAAAUCAACUGAAAAGGAACAAUCAAAUUUUUUUUACAGGUGAAACCCUUAUACUCAAGAGUUCAAAAAAAAAGAAAACAAAAGAAGAAGUACAAAAAAAAACUAUGAUUGAAGCCCUUGGACCAAAGAAGUUAGUUAAAAAUCAGUUUCCUAUGGAAGUUGGAAAAUACCAGCAUAUGAUGUUCAAGAUGGUAUCAAAAAUUCUUGAAAAUCAGGAGCUAAUUAUUGCUGUAAAUAAACAACCCCAUAGGAAUUUGGCAGUUAAGCAUUUAGAGACUAUAGCAGAAUACAAAGAUUUUGUCAAAUAUUUAGAGGAUGAUUCAGUUCUCCUUGAUUAGGUUAAACAACUGAGUUUUUUAGGCGCAGAAGAUUAUAAACAGCUGACAAGAUUGGUUAUGAAUAGAUUAUUUACAAAUACCCUAUUGGCACAGUUUAAUUUAAUAGGUUCUGGUGGAAAAAUUGGUUUAUUAUCAACGAAGCUAUAUGAUGUAUUAGAAGAAGUUGUAACAAAAAGGUUUGAAAAAGUUUCAAAUUCUGAUAUAAGACAGCAAAUCGGAAAAUAGUGUAAAAAUGCUCCAUCGCUGAAAAAUAGAAACUAAAAUUUAUUUUUUAUUGUAUAUAUUAUAUGUUAUAUACAUUGUUAUAUAAAAAGAUACUUUAUUAAAAUC
rnacentral:lncRNA from 1 species